GAUCCUGGCUCAGGAUGAACGCUGGCGGCGUGCUUAACACAUGCAAGUCGAACGAAGCACCUUGAUUCGAUUCUUCGGAUGAAGAUCUUGGUGACUGAGUGGCGGACGGGUGAGUAACGCGUGGGUAACCUGCCUCAUACAGGGGGAUAACAGUUAGAAAUGACUGCUAAUACCGCAUAAGACCACAGCACCGCAUGGUGCAGGGGUAAAAAUUCCGGUGGUAUGAGAUGGACCCG
rnacentral:rRNA from 1 species